UACGGGGGGGGCGAGCGUUGUUCGGAAUUACUGGGCGUAAAGGGCGCGUAGGCGGCCUGAGAAGUUCUGGGUGAAAGCCCCCGGCUCAACCGGGGAAGUGCCUGGAAAACCAUCGGGCUGGAGUGCUGGAGAGGCCGGUGGAAUUUCUGGUGUAGCGGUGAAAUGCGUAGAUAUCAGAAGGAACACCUGAGGCGAAGGCGGCCGGCUGGACAGACACUGACGCUGAGGCGCGAAAGCCAGGGGAGCAAACGGGAUUAGAUACCCCGGUAGUCCUGGCUGUAAACGUUGGGUACUUGGUGUGGGGGGUGGAGAAGUCCCUCCGUGCCGGCGAAAACUCGUUAAGUACCCCGCCUGGGGAGUACGACCGCAAGGUUGAAACUCAAAGGAAUUGACGGGGGCCCGCACAAGCGGUGGAGCAUGUGGUUUAAUUCGACGCAACGCGAAGAACCUUACCGGGGUUUGAACUCGGGUGGACGGCGGCAGAGAUGUCGUUUUCUCUUCGGAGACUGCCCGAGAGGUGCUGCAUGGCUGUCGUCAGCUCGUGUCGUGAGAUGUUGGGUUAAGUCCCGCAACGAGCGCAACCCUUGUCUGUAGUUGCCAUCAGGUGAAGCUGGGCACCCUACAGAGACUGUCGGCGAUAAGCCGGAGGAAGGUGGGGAUGACGUCAAGUCCUCAUGGCCUUUAUGUCCCGGGCUACACACGUGCUACAAUGGGCGGUACAAAGGGCAGCCAACUCGCGAGAGUGAGCGGAUCCCAGAAAGCCGUCCUCAGUUCGGAUCGCAGUCUGCAACUCGACUGCGUGAAGGUGGAAUCGCUAGUAACCGCGGAUCAGCAUGCCGUGGUGAAUACGUUCCCGGGCCU
rnacentral:rRNA from 1 species